rnacentral:rRNA from 1 species
GUAGGUGGCAAGCGUUGUCCGGAGUUAUUGGGCGUAAAGCGCGCGCAGGCGGUUCUUUAAGUCUGAUGUGAAAGCCCACGGGCUCAACCGUGGAGGGUCAUUGGAAACUGGAGAACUUGAGUACAGAAGAGGAAAGCGGAAUUCCACGUGUAGCGGUGAAAUGCGUAGAGAUGUGGAGGAACACCAGUGGCGAAGGCGGCUUUCUGGUCUGUAACUGACGCUGAGGCGCGAAAGGGUGGGGAGCAAACAGGAUUAGAUACCCUGGUAGUCCACGCCGUAAACGAUGAGUGCUAAGUGUUAGGGGGUUUCCGCCCCUUAGUGCUGCAGCUAACGCAUUAAGCACUCCGCCUGGGGAGUACGGCCGCAAAGGCUG